UAGGCUCAGGACGAACGCUGGCGGCGUGCCUAAUACAUGCAAGUAGAACGCUGAAGAGAGGAGCUUGCUCUUCUUGGAUGAGUUGCGAACGGGUGAGUAACGCGUAGGUAACCUGCCUUGUAGCGGGGGAUAACUAUUGGAAACGAUAGCUAAUACCGCAUAACAAUGGAUGACACAUGUCAUUUAUUUGAAAGGGGCAAUUGCUCCACUACAAGAUGGACCUGCGUUGUAUUAGCUAGUAGGUGAGGUAAUGGCUCACCUAGGCGACGAUACAUAGCCGACCUGAGAGGGUGAUCGGCCACACUGGGACUGAGACACGGCCCAGACUCCUACGGGAGGCAGCAGUAGGGAAUCUUCGGCAAUGGGGGCAACCCUGACCGAGCAACGCCGCGUGAGUGAAGAAGGUUUUCGGAUCGUAAAGCUCUGUUGUAAGUCAAGAACGGGUGUGAGAGUGGAAAGUUCACACUGUGACGGUAGCUUACCAGAAAGGGACGGCUAACUACGUGCCAGCAGCCGCGGUAAUACGUAGGUCCCGAGCGUUGUCCGGAUUUAUUGGGCGUAAAGCGAGCGCAGGCGGUUUGAUAAGUCUGAAGUUAAAGGCUGUGGCUCAACCAUAGUUCGCUUUGGAAACUGUCAAACUUGAGUGCAGAAGGGGAGAGUGGAAUUCCAUGUGUAGCGGUGAAAUGCGUAGAUAUAUGGAGGAACACCGGUGGCGAAAGCGGCUCUCUGGUCUGUAACUGACGCUGAGGCUCGAAAGCGUGGGGAGCGAACAGGAUUAGAUACCCUGGUAGUCCACGCCGUAAACGAUGAGUGCUAGGUGUUGGAUCCUUUCCGGGAUUCAGUGCCGCAGCUAACGCAUUAAGCACUCCGCCUGGGGAGUACGACCGCAAGGUUGAAACUCAAAGGAAUUGACGGGGGCCCGCACAAGCGGUGGAGCAUGUGGUUUAAUUCGAAGCAACGCGAAGAACCUUACCAGGUCUUGACAUCCCGAUGCUAUUUCUAGAGAUAGAAAGUUACUUCGGUACAUCGGUGACAGGUGGUGCAUGGUUGUCGUCAGCUCGUGUCGUGAGAUGUUGGGUUAAGUCCCGCAACGAGCGCAACCCCUAUUGUUAGUUGCCAUCAUUCAGUUGGGCACUCUAGCGAGACUGCCGGUAAUAAACCGGAGGAAGGUGGGGAUGACGUCAAAUCAUCAUGCCCCUUAUGACCUGGGCUACACACGUGCUACAAUGGUUGGUACAACGAGUUGCGAGUCGGUGACGGCGAGCUAAUCUCUUAAAGCCAAUCUCAGUUCGGAUUGUAGGCUGCAACUCGCCUACAUGAAGUCGGAAUCGCUAGUAAUCGCGGAUCAGCACGCCGCGGUGAAUACGUUCCCGGGCCUUGUACACACCGCCCGUCACACCACGAGAGUUUGUAACACCCGAAGUCGGUGAGGUAACCUUUUGGAGCCAGCCGCCUAAAGUGGGACAGAUGAUUGGG
rnacentral:rRNA from 1 species